AGGAGGUAGGAAGAAGAGGGAGGAGGGAGGGAAAGGGACAAGAUACCAGAAUAAAUUGACGAGGACACAAGGAACGAACGGAGCGCGCAUCGUGUGGCCGCCUGAGGGACGGUACAGUACGUGCAAUAGACUUCACCCCUGCCUGCUGCCCCGUGCCAAAAGCAACGCAGCCCCUGAUAGUGAUGGCUACCCGCUCUGCUCUGCUCUCGGCUGCCGCCUAUUUCCCUUCCCUCUCCGGGCGCUUUGCAUAGGAGUCGGAGCCGCCGCCCGUCCUCCAUCCUCCUGCACGGCAGGGGCAGCCACACUUGUUGGUUCCUCUCCCUCUACCCUCUCCCGUGUGGCGGCGGGGGAUAUCAUCUAUGAUGGGGUGGCUGCGGCUCCACUCCCUCUUCUCCCCUCUCCGGAGGAUGUGGGUGAGGGCGCAUUCCGAGCGCCGGAACCGGAGGGGGAUGCGCAUCCUGUACAAGGACGUGCAGUCCUGCCAGGACGAGGACGUGCGCGUGCUCUGGUCCAUCCUCAUCGACUCCCACCGCCACCACCACCACCACCCGGCCGUCCUCGACCUCGAGCUCUGAAGAAGAAUCUCAUCAGCGCGAUGGCGUGCACGUACGUAUUUAUGCACGUGGGAUCGAUAUGUGAUCAAGAGAGCACAGCACUGGCCUUCCAUUAUUCCUUCAGAAAAAGAAAAAAAGGACUCGAGGUUGAAGAAGAAGAAGAAGAAGAAGAAGAUAGACUGAGAGAGAGGUGUUUAAUUCUAUGCUUUUGUGUGCUGCUGUUUUCCUUUUCUUUUCUUUUUUUUUUGCACCUUUGUUCUGGGCUUGAAAAAACUGAGUGUGAGGUUGAGCUCUCUGUACAUAGACACACACUUGCUCAAGUGCCUUACCUUCAAUUCUACCGUGCGUACUGUACACUUGUGUUCUUUGUGUAUUUGCAUUGCGUGUAUCUCGGAUGGAAGCCUGCUCUGGUUGUUAGGCUAGUGUAUCUGCCUCUGCUUUUCUUUCUUCUUCUUUACAUCAUCUUUUUGUUUUAGAUUGCCUGUCCAUUUCUGCUUGAUGGGUGCCCUGACGACGACGCGUCCCUGGCCGGCCGCCGGCGGCCCUCGUUUUCUCGCGCACGGAUGGCCGUGUGCUCAUGUACACAUAUCGAUCGAUGCUUCUAUGUAAUCCAAGACACACAAAUCUGGCUUGUGUUGUGUUCCUAUCCAUUUUAUCGCAAAUUGCCGGGACAGAAACAAGUAUCUUUCAGCGGAAGCAGCCGGCCGGCUUGCUUGCCGACACUCUACCUUAUUAUCGAAUAUUUGUCGGUCGUUAGUAUAUUUUUUAACUAAAACACGAUAAAUAAAAAAGAACAGAGAAAAUAUUAUUUUUGUGCACGAGUUUGUUGAGCGAGAUUCUUUUUUAUAUAUGUAUCUUUUGAUGCAAACAUUUAUGUAUUCGAU
rnacentral:misc_RNA from 1 species